UACGGAGGGAGCUAGCGUUGUUCGGAAUUACUGGGCGUAAAGGGCUCGUAGGCGGCCAACUAAGUCGGAUGUGAAAUCCCCAGGCUUAACCUGGGAACUGCAUCCGAUACUGGUUGGCUUGAAUCCGGGAGAGGGAUGCAGAAUUCCAGGUGUAGCGGUGAAAUGCGUAGAUAUCUGGAGGAAUACCGGUGGCGAAGGCGGCAUCCUGGACCGGCAUUGACGCUGAUGAGCGAAAGCUAGGGGAGCAAACGGGG
rnacentral:rRNA from 1 species